GCCUCUGCUCUACAGAAAGAAGGUCUACGAUCACCACUGACUGUACUUCCAUCUCAUUUACAUGAAAGUGGGCCAAGAAGAAUGUUUCACCUCAGUCACAUCCAUGGAGUCAACCCAACUGGCCAGUUUUGUUGUUGUUGUUUUGUGAGGGCAGUGGGUGGACGCCUGGGCCCCUGGCACUCUCUCUCUACAGC